AUGUCCCGUCCAGCGAAAAGCCUCUAUCCGAAUGACCAGCGGGCCCAGCCUGCCAGGGACACGCGGAUCCGUCCGAUCCCACGAGUGCGUGGGGCCCCACCUGUCAGCCGAGCCCUCCCAUUCUCCUCGUUCCCCUUCCGCUUCUCCUCCUGUCCCGAUCUCUCCCUCUCUCGCGCUCGCUCGCUCCUUCGAGGCUCGGCCAUGGCGGACUACCACUUCGUGUACAAGGACGUGGAGGGGGCGACCACGCAGUGGGACGACAUCCAGCGCAAGCUCGGCAACCUGCCCGAGAAGCCGCCGCCCUUCAAGCCGCCGCCCUUCGCCCCCAGGGCCGACGCCGACGAGCAGCCCAGGUCCAAGGAGUGGCUCGACGCGCGCGACCCCGACGAGCUCGAGGAGCUCGAGGACGACCUCGACGACGACCGCUUCCUCGAGCAGUACAGGAGGAUGAGGCUUGCAGAGCUCAAGGAGGCAGCAAAAACUGCCAGAUUCGGCACAGUACAGCCCAUCACAGGCUCUGAUUUUGUGCGUGAGGUUUCGCAGGCUCCACCGGAUGUCUGGGUUGUGGUCUUCCUCUAUAAGGAUGCGAUACCAGAAUGUGGGCUGCUUGAGACUUGCCUGGAGGAACUGGCGACAAAAUAUGCAGAAACCAAGUUUGUUAAAAUUAUUUCCACGGACUGUAUUCCCAACUACCCAGAUAGGAAUGUUCCUACAAUACUGGUGUACAACAACAGUGCUGUCAAAGGGACUUAUGUUGGUCUACAGAAGUUCGGUGGAAAGAAAUGCACACCUGAAUCUGUUGCAUUGGCGCUUUGCGACUCAGACCCAGUACUGAAUGAUGGACAAGGUGGUAACAAUGUCAUGGAAGGCGUUCGCAGGAAGUUCAUAGAAAAGGUUGUCUCCCAGCUUGAAACGCGAGAAGACGAAGAUGAUAGCGACUAA
rnacentral:rRNA from 1 species